GACUAGUCCAUGUUUUAAAAGUUGUCACUGGGUGAUUCUGUGCCGCAUAGCAUGGCACAGUGUUUCAGAAUGAAGCAAAUAAUUUGGUCACAGUAAAAGAGUGAAUUAAUCAAGAACAAAACUGUAACUUGGGUAUCAGUUUGUAGCUACUAUGGAAAGCAGACACCUGAGAUAGAUGGGCUUUUGGUCUACCUACCACAUGGGGAAUAUGAGGUCAUUUUGGGCAGAACCCCUAGGAAUCAACCAACAGCUAUGCCUGGA